rnacentral:tRNA from 1 species
CUGUAGUUCAGCGGUAGAGCGCCAGAUUGUGGAUCUGGUUGUCGAGGGUUCGAUCCCCUCCA